UGAAAGAAAUGGCUCCGCGUGUG
rnacentral:piRNA from 1 species